rnacentral:rRNA from 1 species
ACGUAGGGUGCGAGCGUUAAUCGGAAUUACUGGGCGUAAAGCGUGCGCAGGCGGUUUUGUAAGACAGAUGUGAAAUCCCCGGGCUUAACCUGGGAACUGCAUUUGUGACUGCACGGCUGGAGUGCGGCAGAGGGGGAUGGAAUUCCGCGUGUAGCAGUGAAAUGCGUAGAUAUGCGGAGGAACACCGAUGGCGAAGGCAAUCCCCUGGGCCUGCACUGACGCUCAUGCACGAAAGCGUGGGGAGCAAACAGG